rnacentral:rRNA from 1 species
AUUAAACGCUGGCGGCAUGCCUUACACAUGCAAGUCGAACGGCAGCACGGGGGGAACCCUGGUGGCGAGUGGCGAACGGGUGAGUAAAGCAUCGGAACGUGCCCUGGAGUGGGGGAUAACGUAGCGAAAGUUACGCUAAUACCGCAUAUUCUGUGAGCAGGAAAGCAGGGGAUCGCAAGACCUUGCGCUCUGGGAGCGGCCGAUGUCGGAUUAGCUAGUUGGUGGGGUAAAGGCCUACCAAGGCGACGAUCCGUAGCGGGUCUGAGAGGAUGAUCCGCCACACUGGGACUGAGACACGGCCCAGACUCCUACGGGAGGCAGCAGUGGGGAAUUUUGGACAAUGGGCGAAAGCCUGAUCCAGCCAUGCCGCGUGAGUGAAGAAGGCCUCGG